AUACAGAUAUUUCAAAUCCCACCCGACGCGUUGGUAUUUACCAAAUCCCGAUCUCAUUUCUCAGCCCCCCGAUCCCGACUCUCAAGUUCUCCCUCAGCGCCAAACUUCUAUCUCUCCUCUCUCCCCUUCUCCUCUCUCGUCGAAACUCUAGGGUUUAGUCUCAUCUCUCCCCCCGUUCCAGCGAAACCCUAGAUCUGAUCUCUCCCCCUUGUCGCGUGCUCCCUCUUCGGGCGGUUCAAGUUCCUCGCAGGAGUCGACGCCACGGAGAUCGCCGGCGAGUUCAGCCGUAAGAGGAAGAAACUUGAGAUCGCAGGAAUCGAUAGAUAGGGGAUUGAAUGGAUGGGAUCGGUGUCCGAGGUACGGGAUGACGUCCGUUUGUGGACGGAGGAAGGAGAUGGAGGAUGCUGUAUCGAUUCGGCCGGAUUUUGCAAAGAGAAGCUCUGGAGUCGACGGAAAGCUUCAUUUUUUCGGUGUUUUUGAUGGACACGGCUGCGCUCACUUCUUUUUGUGGGGGAGAUCUAUCCAAAAGUGAUGCACAUGAAGGAUGACGCUAAGGAGCAGAAGCAGGUCGAAAGAUGAGGAAGAAACAACACGCUGGAAAAACUCAGGCCUAGAAUCCCUAUCGACUUUUCCCACAGUCAUGAGGUUUCACAACAAGAGUCGUCUUGUUAUGGUCGAGCUUUGAUAAACCUGAAGUCAACUGUUCUUUACACACAUUGCUGACAAUUGCAGAUACAAUUCUAGUAAGCAAACCAAUAUCUUCGGCUACUGGAAGUAGAGAUUGACAACGAUGGAGGACCGAGAUGGAGUUCGUGAUGCUGGUGAAGACUGUCUCUUUGAGAUAGGAUUCAGACUGAGACUCUUAAGUUUCUGUCCGAAAUUUCUUCGGUCAUUUGGAGGUGAUGGGCUGCACAGCGAAGUGUUGCGGCGUUGGAAAUGAUGAGGUCGAUGUUGAGGCCGUAGCAGAACUUCGCGGCAAGUUCGAAGGAUUCGGGUCCUCCUGGCAUAUUCUGGAUUGUGAUUCUGGUAGGUUUUGAGUCUCUGCUUGAGUCUGAUAUCAGUUUUCGGAUCUUUCCACUCCUUGAGACUAGGGGGACUGCACGUGGAAAUGAGUAUAGGUCAGAACAAAAAUAUCUGCAAUUACUGGACCAAUUGGAAAGGAGUGUGCUGAUUUGUGGCCUACGAUUGCUAGUGCAGCCAAUGUCAUUGUGUAAUAUCCAGAUUUUUCUUCAGGUGUCAGUGAGGAGUAGUAGUUUCAUGUUAUUUGUUAUUGAAAAGAAAAGAGAGUUUUUUAAAUAUGGAUCCAUAUUUGUAUUGAAAGUUUUUGUUUUCCUGUGACGUACAUAUAUUGGAAUUGAUAUUCUGUGAUCCAGCUGAUGGUA